CAUUUCCAAUUGCCAAACAGCGAUUUUUUUUGGAAAAUUCAGCGGUGUUGGUGAGUGCAGUAGUUUGUCUAAAAUUUUGCCCAUUUUUUCACGACUUAAAAGAAAACAAAUAGCAAAAUGACCAACGCAUGGAGAGCAGCUGGGCUUACCUACAUUCAAUACUCCAACAUCUGUGCUCGCGUUGUGCGCCAGGCACUUAAGAGCAAUCUGCGAGCCGAUGCUGCUAAGCGGAACGAGACUCAUGUUAAGUUCACUCCAUGGAGCGAUGGAAAACCAGCACAUGAGAAGUAAAAUAUCACGGAGCUAAAUAUUUGCAUACGUUAACAUAAAAAAGUAUGCGAUGUAGGCGCGCUGUUGAAGACGCGUAAGCGGCAUUUAUUCGCAACACCCAACAUCAACGCUGUCCCCUUGAGUUGUAUUUAAGGAAUUUCCGUUUCUACAUACGAUGGGAAAAGAAUAAAUAAAAAAAUAUGAGAUAUUCAUAAAAAA